AACGAACGCUGCGGCAUGCCUAACACCUGCCAGUCGAACGCGACCUUCGGGUCUAGUGGCGCACGGGUGCGUAACGCGUGGGAACCUGCCCUUAGGUUCGGAAUAACUCCCCGAAAGGGGUGCUAAUACCGGAUAAUGUCUUCGGACCAAAGAUUUAUCGCCUUUGGAUGGGCCCGCGUUGGAUUAGCUAGUUGGUAGGGUAAAAGCCUACCAAGGCGACGAUCCAUAGCUGGUCUGAGAGGAUGAUCAGCCACACUGGGACUGAGACACGGCCCAGACUCCUACGGGAGGCAGCAGUGGGGAAUAUUGGACAAUGGGCGAAAGCCUGAUCCAGCAAUGCCGCGUGAGUGAUGAAGGCCUUAGGGUUGUAAAGCUCUUUUACCCGGGAUGAUAAUGACAGUACCGGGAGAAUAAGCUCCGGCUAACUCCGUG
rnacentral:rRNA from 1 species